UUGUUCUCCUGUGCACAGAUUUGAUCCCGUGGCUCCAGCUGGACAGCAGCUUUCACCAAUGAAGACAAGAGGGCAAAGCUCAGUCAGCGAUGGCAGCACUCAUCCCUUCACGACCUGUGGUGACUUUCCACGUUAUCCAUGCCACGAAGGUUGUCACCCUUGGCUCCAGGUUCCAUCUCCAUCUCCCGUGGAGCUGCCCCAGGGACACUUGAGGCUUCAGCAGUGAGGUUCCAGAAGGACUGGACAGCUACCCGACCCAGCAGAACCAGGAGAUAACAGUUCGGGAUCCUCUCUGAGACCUGCAGAAGAGAUGCAUCACCCAGCUUGACCCGUGAUGACAGCAGGAGGUAAG
rnacentral:lncRNA from 1 species